rnacentral:lncRNA from 1 species
UAAAAAUGAUGAGCAUAAGGAACAAUACGUAAAAGGUAUAAAAGCUGAUAAUUGUAAUGUACGUAAUGUACAUUAUAAUAAAAUAUCAAAAAAUUAUUUAGAGCAGUGUUUUAAUAAUAAUCCUAAUCAUAGUAAUCAUAUGGAUAAUGAUAAUCAAUGUUGUGAUGUUACUCAAAAAAAAACACAAGAAAUUUUGCAUGAAUGGGAAAAUGAUCAGCAAAAAAAAGUAGAAAUGACAGGCACAGAGGAUGAAGGGUUUAAAGAAAAUGUAUGUAUUAAAGGAGGUGAAUAUAGCACUCAAAAAAUUGUGACAUUAAAAAACGAAAAAAAUAAAAAUUGUAAUAAGUAUAUAGAAACAGAAUGCGACAUAAACAAUAAUGUAGUCUUUAAUACAUAUAAAAUGAAAAAUGAAACAGUAGCAUGUAUAAAUAAUAAGGAACACAAUAUAAAUAAAAAAAGAAUGGGAAAAAUAAACAAGAUAAAUGAUCAUAAUAAUAAUGAUGAUGAUGAUGAUGGUAAUGGUAGUGUGAAAGCUGGUAUGACUUUAAGAAGCAAAAGAAGGAAUACAUUGCAAGUUGAAAAAUCUAAUGAAGAUAAUACAGAUAUUAUUAACGCAAGAAAAAAAAAUAAAAAAUUAAAAGUAAAGGACACAGAGAAUGAUAUAUACGUAAAACAAUUACAAGAAAAAACAAAUGAAAAGAGUAAAAAUAUUAGUGGGCAUAAUAAUAUGAGUGAGCACAACAUUAUUAAUGAUAAUAGGAAUACUAUUGAUCAAAAUAACGACAAAAUGUUUAACAUAAAAAAUAAAGUGAGUAGAAAUACUAAUGCGAACAUAUUGGAAGAACGUAACAACUUGAGCCAUUUAAUACAAUUACCAGAUUAUGUAAAUCACAAAGAAUUAAUUAAUAGUAAAAAUGAAUGCCUACCUACACAUAUAUUACAAUAUGAACAUUUAAAAAAAAAUGAAUGUAUAUUUUUUAAUAUUCAGAACCAUUAUAAUAGUUUUAUGAAUAACUUGUAUCAUUUUUCUACUAUUUAUGAACAGUCAUUAAAAGUUAAUGAACGUGUAAAUAGAUCAGCAAAUGGUGGAAGGUCUAAACAAUAUGUAAAAA